rnacentral:rRNA from 1 species
AUGAACGCUGGCGGCGUGCCUAAUACCUGCAAGUCGAGCGAACAGAUGAGGAGCUUGCUCCUCUGACGUUAGCGGCGGACGGGUGAGUAACACGUGGAUAACUUACCUAUAAGACUGGGAUAACUUCGGGAAACCGGAGCUAAUACCGGAUAAUAUAUUGAACCGCAUGGUUCAAUAGUGAAAGACGGUUUUGCUGUCACUUAUAGAUGGAUCCGCGCCGCAUUAGCUAGUUGGUAAGGUAACGGCUUACCAAGGCAACGAUGCGUAGCCGACCUGAGAGGGUGAUCGGCCACACUGGAACUGAGACACGGUCCAGACUCCUACGGGAGGCAGCAGUAGGGAAUCUUCCGCAAUGGGCGAAAGCCUGACGGAGCAACGCCGCGUGAGUGAUGAAGGUCUUCGGAUCGUAAAACUCUGUUAUUAGGGAAGAACAAAUGUGUAAGUAACUAUGCACGUCUUGACGGUACCUAAUCAGAAAGCCACGGCUAACUACGUG